rnacentral:tRNA from 1 species
UAGAAAGUAGUAUAGAGGAAGUACAGAGGGUUUUGAGCUCUUUGGUGCAGGUUCGUGUCCUGUUUUUCUAG